rnacentral:snoRNA from 11 species
CUCUCUGUGAUGAAUAACCAAUCACCAUCUUUCGGCUGACUGCCUGAUGGAUACCUUUAUUUACCUGAUGAGAG